rnacentral:rRNA from 1 species
AGCGAACGUUUGCGGCGGGCUUAACACAUGCAAGUCGAACGGGCUGUUCCUUCGGGGGCAGUCAGUGGCGCACGGGUGCGUAACACGUAGGUAAUCAACCCUCUGGUUGGGGAUAACACUUCGAAAGGAGUGCUAAUACCCGGUAUGGCGCAGCGGUCUUCGGAUCGCGGCGAGAAAAGACCCCGCAAGGGUUUGCCAGAGGACGAGCCUGCGGCCCAUCAGCUAGUUGGCGAGGUAACGGCUCACCAAGGCGAAGACGGGUAGCUGGUCUGAGAGGAUGAUCAGCCACACUGGAACUGAGACACGGUCCAGACUCCUACGGGAGGCAGCAGUGGGGAAUAUUGCGCGAAUGGGCGAAAGCCUGACGCAGCCACGCCGCGUGAGCGAUGAAGGCCU